GAACCUUCAAUCUGCCCUGACGCUGAUGAGCCACUCAGUAAUGCCCUGGGAGCUUCACUCUAGAACGGGGAAAGGGGGAUAGGAUGAAGUUUUUGCUCAGAUCUUUCCGAGGCCGCACUGCCCAUCUCGCGUGAAUGCUUGGAGACAAAUGCCUGGCUCAAGUUGGAAAAGACAGACAAGAGAUUGUGCCGGGGAAACCCCCCGGAGAGUGCGUUCAACAGGACAGGUGGACGGAAGCACAGGUACUUGAUUAGGAAGGAUGUGGAAAUAGGAAAGACGUAAGGAAGGAAGGAAGUGCAGGAAGACUAAUCCUAAUUCGGGGAGAGGGGGACAGGUUCCUAGCGAAUGACUCCUCGCGCGCUCUGGUCUGCGGAAAAGCCACGGAACCGCCACAAAGGGUUUUUUUAAGUUCCAAACCUGUCAGAAGCACCCGCCCUCUUCUUUGUGAGGUCGGCUCCCUCUCCUUUAGGGAAAUUCUCGUCACCCUAUUGGUUGAGUUAACCAGCAUUCAAAAGCAGUCAGCGAACCAACUACGACUGGGCCCAGGGAUUUCGGGAAAUGUAGUCCACUCUGCAGCUUCCGCAUCCCAGGACGAUGUCUUGCAUUUGGAACCUACAAAAUUUUGAUUUGUCGUUUAAUAUUUAUUGAAUUAGUUGAUUCGCUGGGUGCAACGACCAAGAAAACAAAUGUGAGGACAUUCCUAAACUAUUUCCAAGUGGCUCUGAAUUUUUUAUUAAUUUAGUUCUCUAACAUUUUGUUGUCAGGCGGUGUGCUAGGUACUAAAGACACGAAAAUGCAAUCCUUGCUUUCAGCAAGCUCACUACGGUCUAACGGAGACGACUUUUAACAUAAAUAGUAAUUGUAAAACGAUGUGAUGAGUCCAAUGAUGGAAUAAUGAAGGAGGACGGCAGAGGGCCACUUAACUGGCCAGGAAGGCUUGGACAUGGUGACGCCCACCAUAGAUCAUGCCGGAUAAGGAGGAGCAGACCUAGCGAACAGGAGGCAAAGACCAUUGGAAGACAAUGGGGAAGAGAGCCUCAGAAUUACCUUGAGAGCUUUUUAAAAGUACAUGUGAUUCCACAGGGGGAAAUUGCAAAACAGACAGAUCACAACCCCAUAGAAUUGUAUGAUCUGCCUUUUUA
rnacentral:lncRNA from 10 species